GAGUCCUCUGGGUCUGACGAUGACUGCAGCUCUCAGGCGAGUUUCCAAAUCUCGGUCCCCUCCUCUGAGUCCAGGAAGACCAGCGGACUAGGCAGCCCCCGGGCCAUCAAGAGAGGUACAGAGAAGGGGAGCAGGGGCAGGGUGCAGCAGCAAGGAGCCCCUCACCUCUUCCCAUGGGCACUUGAACAUGGGGGUCCCCACUUGAUCUGAGCUCGUGACCCCCCAGCAGCUCCACCCCCAGCCCCAGAGACCGGGUCCCGGGUGGGUGGUCAAGGCUCAGCAGCUCCUGGGCUGCGUGAGUCGGGGAGGUGUGGGACCCGGGCCUUGACUCCUCCUCCCUCGGCAAGGCGUCUCCAUGUCCUCACUGAGCUCCGAGGGUGACUACGCCAUCCCCCCGGACGCCUGCUCACUGGACAGUGACUACUCAGAGCCAGAGCACAAACUGCAGCGCACCUCAUCCUACUCCACCGACGGGCUGGGCCUGGGCGGGGAGUCACUGGAGAAGUCGGGCUACCUGCUGAAAAUGGGGAGCCAGGUGAAGACGUGGAAGAGGCGCUGGUUUGUCCUGAGACAGGGACAGAUUAUGUACUA
rnacentral:sRNA from 1 species